AAAACGAAACACCACUCGCAAACAAAUAUUAAACCUAACCAACAAAGGAUAAUGUGUGCUAUAUAGAACUAUCGCUGUCAGUGUCAUGUGGCGUCAUUGUGCGUCCAUUGCAUGAACUUUGGCAAGAUUUAAUACAGUAAAUAACUACAAGACUCGAGGAGGUACCCAAGAAAUAAGGAAAAAACGAGCGAGAAUGUUUCAAACAUUAUAUAAAAUGUGUUUUGUUAAGUAUGCUUUUGAGUAGAAUAAUGCUUAAACUUAUUUUUAUUGAAAAGAUCUCGUCAAUCCAUGGAUGAUACUCUCAUAAAGAUAAAGAAAUAUAUAUUGCGUUAAUGGUCACUAUAUAUUUGAAAACAAACAAACUAUACGUUUGGAAAAUUCGGAAAUAAUGGAGUAGUAUAGUACAGUGUAAGGAUGAAAUUAACGAAAGUACAAUUCGAAUUCGAUGGGGUAGAUCGGUAGAUCGUUGUAUCGCGCCGUGCAAAGACGGCCCUGGCUUCGGCCACUCGGUAAGUAGUCGAAGCGAUAUUUUGGUCGAGCUGAGACAGUGGGAUGGGAUACGAUUGCCUUCUCGUAUUGCCGUGGCUCGAGGCACGGACUCUCGGAAGAAAAGAGGAAGAGAGACCGAGCAAAAUGAUUCGGGAGGCUCCGAGGUGUUGGAAAGGCACGAUGAAAGACAUAUGAGGAUUCCAGCGGCGAGAUAGGAUAUGCCUGCCGACUAUGUUACAGCGAAAAUCUUUUGAGGUCCACCUUACGCGCGUUGCUUCUCUUUUCCUUCAGGUUUUUCGCAGAGUUUGUGUAUGUUGAAUUUUGCCGAAAGCGUGGCCGUCGAAUGUAUCGUUUAUUAAUUUAAACAUUGUUACUCUAACUUAAUUAAAGGGCAUUCUUUGAUAUAAGUCAGUGGUUAUCAAACCACAUAAAGGGAGCCCCUUAAUUGUUUUGACUGAUGUCGAUUGAAUGUUCUAUUUAUUGAGCAUAGAGAAUGAUUUAAAUGGCAUGGUUAUCGAAUUUUUUUAGAUGGAAAAGAUCCCCUUUUGGAUUGUAAAGCGCCGCCUCUGGGGAGUCGCCAUCUUUACUUUGGAGAAUACUAGUGCCAGUGAAGGAACAUGUAAAUGUAUAAAAAAUGUGAGGAACAAAGCAUUUAACGAAAUCAAAGAUAAUUUAAAUUGACAUCGAUAUUGAAUCGUUAAUAAUUUUUACCAUUUGAACUUUAAACGACCACAUGGGAUUGACGAGCGUUUUUUCGAACGUUGCAAAUAAAUGUAACAACGUGAAAUUUAUUCGAAGAUUCUUGAAGGUUUGCGUUACGCGGAGCACGUGUCAGUGUCAACCGACACCGAGAGCAAGAGGAGUCAAGAAAGACGUCCCAUCCCGUCCCGUCCCCUCUAUUUACGACAUAAGUCACCUGUCGCCGUGCAAUUAAGGAGGAUGAGUCGACAGGCGCUAACCCGUGGUCAUUUUGUUGUUGCUAAUAAGGCUGGAAAUACGAAUAACGACGAUGCUUGUUACUUGGUGAGGUUUCGUGACAAAUCGACGUUUAAAUAAAACGCAAGUCACACGAAGCGAAGAGGAGGACGAUGACGACGAUGAUGACGGCGACGAAGAAGUUUAAGAAGUAGACAGAGAGGAAGGUUGCGGACGUAAAGUAUAAACAGUCGAGGUGCGAUUUGACGCGCACUCCGGCCAUCCAAGGCACAUCUCGCUCGUUGAACGUACGCUUUAAGAAUCCCGAAGAAGCGACCAGCCCCGAUGGCUGGAAUCUGUAAAUCUGUCAUUGCAGCCAUAUUCGUGCGGCUGGUACCGCAGGAUAUGAACUUCUGCUCGUUGUAUGCGCCACCGACGUACGAGACCCUCUAGAUCUGCCCGCUCGUCUUCUUUCGAGAACUUUGCACCAAAACGGAAGCCUCUCCCCGUCUCUCGAAAUAACAAAUGUUUUUUUUUUUUUUUUUUUUUACAAAAACGUUACCGAUUCUGGAAAGCUGUUCGUUUCUCCUACCGGGUCAGGAAAUUGAGAAUUCUUUUGACGACGCUGCGAAAUGGCGGUUGCUUCGUUUCUUUAUAACUCAUACUUCGUAUCUACGUACCCGAUUCUCUCGUUCUUUAAACCGUUCAUUCUGUUCAUCUCAUUUGUUCGCCAUUUGAAAAGUUGAAAUCCGUGGUGUACAGUAAUUCUUUUCAAGUUUUCAAGAGAUAUCGAUGUUUAACUCGGACGAGAAACAUUUAUGACACAUUUAUCGGAACGUUUCGUGGAGAAAAACGAACGACAACUCGAGAAACAUUGCUGUACGCCGUUUCGAUCGGUGAGAAGAAGGUGUUCUGGUCGAAGGUUCAAAAACCGUUUGGUUGUAUCAAACAGCGUGAAAACUAUAAAAGCUCCAGCAGUCGUCGCACCGUAUACCCAGCGGUAUUUCCUCUGGUAGCUAGCGAUGACGGAUUCAUGGUCCGUGGGAUAACGCAACACUUUACCCUCCACAUCCCCCGAAAUGUUUCGGUUUACGGAUGCACGCACGGUCGCUCGCACUUUCCUUCUUUUUCCUCCAUUUCUCUUCACGGUUUUUUUCCUUUCAUCUACCGAGCGAUUCAUUUGUCGGUCUUUGAUCCGCGACCAACGAGCCACUACCGGAAAAUUAGAGAGAUUUAUCGAGCGCUUGUCUUUCUUGGAACGCCAUCUAUCAUUUUAUUUCUCCUCGCUUCCGAUUUCACUGGCCGUUUAAUGCGACCCACGUUGUACUUAUCGUUGUUAGAUUAUUCGAACUCGAUAAUAAAACCGGCACGUUUGUCUUCGUGGAACUUUUUCCGAGAGACAUCGAAUUUUGAAUGGCCAAAAGAAUGCGUGGAACGACGAAAAGGUGACCGAAAUUUGUCACUUCUUUGGAGGUCCUCGGACCCCCCAAAGAUUUCACAGCGAAUGCAAGGUCGAAACGUAUGGUUAUUUAGUGAGACCCCACUGUCUUCUCGCGCCGAAUGAGACCACUUGAAAAGGUUUUCCCAGGCACGUUUCAGGCCCUCGAUCUCUCAAUAAACACAGUUUAUUCUCGACCAGUAUCUGGAUCUUUGGAAGAGAGCGAUCGAGCAAUCGAACGUUCCGUCGGUUGGCUUGUACGCGAUAUACAUACAUCGUAACGCCGUCGGUGUUCCAUUUAUCGAGAAAAUGGGUCUUCGGAGGUUUUAAAGAGUUGGCUUUGAGGGCAGCUGGUUCUCGCGAACAGAAUUGCCACCAGCAGCGCGGGGUCACCUAACCCUGUCGAGGGUUGACUUCUACAGGGCUGAGCCCGCCUGGCACCUACGAGGAAGAUGAAAGAAUGAGCGAAGAUAGGCCGACGGUCGCUUUUUAUUGCCGGCGCCGUCACGCGUCACCGAUAAGCGCGGUCUCUCUGUAGACGAAAAGUCUGCACUCGCACCGGUUCUCUCGAAACACGAGAUUUCUUAUUCUUUCUCUUUUUCCUCUUCGCUUCUUCUAUCCCUGGCAUUUCUUUGUAUCUUUUCACGAACCCCCUUAAUAGAAAGAAUUUUUAAAGGGUCCCUAUUGAUUUCUAUCAAGCCUUGUAUAAAAUCAAGAGGUAUCGAGGAGACGGAAGCUAGGACAAUGUACUCCGUAUAGAAACAGAGCCUGUAACUGAUAAGUAUCGAAUAGAUUAGGCAUUGCAUUCGCCCGCAUUUUAAACAUCAAUUAUUCGUCCACGAUUCGCUUUGUUUAAACUCGUGUUGGGAGUCGCGAGACCGUACCGAAAUAAGCGCAAAUCUAAUUUAAACGUGUACGGUCAUUUUAAUCGCUUUGAUCCAAGCGUUUCCUUUUUUGUUAUUUCCGUUGUUUGCGACAUCGGGCGUAGCUCACUCACUCGCGACUACGAAACGUUUCGGUGGAUGCAAGUGGGAGAUAUUCACCGAGAGUCAUUAAGGAUACGUUUGUAAUAUGUUUACACAACGGGUUGCUUCGCAUGGCCAUCAAUCACGGGCCACGUCGGUCCAUCCGUUUUUCUAUGCGUGGAAACCGACAGCGUCGUGUCGCCUUGCGUCGCGUCAGACGCUCGCGUUCCGUGUCGCUUCGUUGGCAUUAGCGUGUCGUUUUUAACAGUAUCGGUGUUAAACCACCGCGCGCGCCGUGCUCGUCUACCAAAAUGUUGUUCGACGAUUUGGCGUAUGCACUCCGUGACGUUUUCUGCCAACGACUUCGCC